rnacentral:lncRNA from 1 species
GCAAACAAAGCUCUCAAGUUGGUGAUCCUCAGGUAAAAUCUAACCUACAGAUAUUGCACCAGUUAUUUAUUGCUACAAAAAUGCUGCCUAAGAAGCCACCCAAAGGGCAGUGGGUUACAACAAUAACUAUACCUUUUUUCUUAGGAGUCUCUGCAUUAGUUGGACAGCUCUUCUGGAAUUAUCUUCUAAGUCAACUGUGGGUUGGGUAGGUGGCUCUGCUGAUUUUUCGCUGGACUUCCACAUUUGGGACGAGUUGGCUGUCAUCAGCUCUAGAAAGGGUGUGGCCGUUUUACAUUGGCUGUUUUCCUCACAUUCCUCAAGCAGGUAAGCUUAAUCAUGUUCUCAUAUUGAAGCAGAAACUGUUUACUCAUUUAUCUAUUUACUUACUGGGUCUCCUGGGCACUAGGUACUGUAAUAAAGAACUGGAGAAAUACAGUCAGAUGGGAAGUAGCCCUUGCUGUCAAGGAGCUUGCCAUCUAAUGGGGGAGACAGGCAAGUAAACCAAAGACUACACAGUGCAGUAUGGUAAGUGCCAUGAUUUUGAUGUGACAGGGCACAGUGGACGACCUUCCAAAUCAAAGCAAGUAACUAGGGGUUGACAAUGGUAAGUAUCAUAGUUGAAGUAUCCUUGAACAAGGUUUCAGGAAGAAGAAGAAGGGAAUUUCAUGCAGGGAAACAGCCAAAGCUCAGUGAGUCAAAAUAUCACAGCAUUCUUGGUAAGCCCAAUUGUUUUUUCUGUUUUGCUAUUUUGGUGGAGAGAAAGGAACACAUAAAGGAAUAACAUGAGAGAAGGCUAUUUGGGGAAGUGUAGUAGUUAAGGUUCUGGCUCAAACAACAACUGCAGCUCAUAAAGUUGACUUUAGUGGAAGGAUACUGGGGUAUCUCAUGGAAUCUUGGGAACUGUUGAAUAACCAGGGAAACUCUGGGAAACUCACUGGUAGGAAUCCAUAAACUGUCCUCCUGGUGGGCUGUAAACAACUCACCCUCUAUGCAUCUCACAUCAAAAUUCCAGUUUCUUGGGAAAACAAGUCUGUUUGCCCAAUUUGGGUCAUAUUUCCACGUCCAUGUUACUCAGGCAUGAUUCAUCUGCAAGUUAUGUGUAUAGAUAUUUUGCUACUGUUCCACCCUUACGCUGUGCUGGGGAGGGAGGUGUCACUGUGAGCUGUGUCGGUGCCUUAAGAGAUAUCUGUUGUGUCUUAUUACUUGGUUGCUUUUCCCCACAUGUACAAUGACAAAAAUGCCUUCAACCUAUUUGAUCCAGCCGUUCCAGUACAACUCCUAUACUUGCCAUCUUUCCAAGCCCAAAGGUACAUCCAGCUGAUGGAAGGAGCAUCUUGGUGUUAAUAUUCUUUUAGUCAUGGUCUCUGAAAGUAAAAUGUCUAUUCUUCUAAUUCUGGCACAAUCUUAUCUAGCUAUAGUUCCUCAUGGUCCUGCACUCCAUGGACUAAAUUGUAAGUAUAAUUACUACCAAUGUACUCUAUAAAUAACUUUUGGGGCCAGGGUGGCAAUAGUUGCUAGAGAGAAAAAAAAAAAAAAGGAAGGAGAAGAAAACAGUGAUAGUUCUUAUUUUAAAAGGAAAAAAAGAGGCAGGAGGCUCUCUUGAGGCCAGGAGUUUAAGACCAGCCUAGGCAGCAUUUCAAGACCCUGUCUCUACUAAAAAGUAAAAAAAAAAUUUAGUCAGGCAUGGUGGCAUGCACCUGUAGUCGUAGCUACUCAGGAGACUGAGGUGGGAGGAUUGAUUGAGCUCAGGAGUUUGAGGCUGCAGUGAGCAAUCAUCAUGCCAUUGCACUCCAGCCUGGGCAUCAGAGCAAGACCUUGUCUUUUAGGAAAAAAAGGCAGGGAAGAGGAAUAGGUAAUUUUUCAGUGUUCAGACAUUCCAGCAAUAUGUGUGGAGUACUCAUUCUCACUACAGUUUAUGAGGCCAUAGCUAGUAUGUAUGACUACCCAUCCAAGUUUCCCUGCUUACAGUUACUAUUCCAACUGAUUGGGGGGCUUUUCCUAAUAGAGUGAUUUAAGCCUUCAUUUUUAGACAUCUAAGCCCUUGGUGAUCAUCAGCAUAAAAUGUGACAAAUUAAACAAAAGCAAGACAGCACAUCAGAGAACAACUCUGAGGUGGAAUGAUUGGGAACCAAUGAAUAGUUGUUCAGUAAAUGGUUUAUAUUUUACAGAUGAUGAAACUGAAACACAAAAAAUUUAGAUUAACUCUUAGGUGACAAAGCCAGGAUUGAAGCUCAUGCGGUCUGGCUCCAGAACAACUCUUCUUCAUAGUUACGUUAUACUGCCCCUGCAUUGUUGGUAUUGAAAAUAACUGAUACCGUGCUUCCAGAAGAUUUUUCUAACAGUGUUUGCAAGCUAUAAAAUAGUGCUUUCACUUAGAAAAGGCUAGACGUGGUGGUUCAUGCCUGUAAUCCCAGCACUUUGAGAGGCCGAGGUGAGUGAAUCACUUGAGAUCAGGAGUCUGAGACCAGCCUGGCCAACAUGGCAAAACCCUGCCUCUACUAAAAAUAUAAAAAUUAGCCAGGCAUGCUGGCACAUGCCUGUAAUCCCAGCUACUUGGGAGGCUGAGGCAGGAGAAUUGCUUGAACCUAGGAGGCGGAGGUUGCAGUGAGCCGAGAUCUUGCCACUGCACUCCAGCCUGGGCAACUCCAUCUCAAAAAAAAAAGAAAGAAAGAAAGAAUUACCAUUCUCAUUCACCUUAAUCCAUAAUAGCUUCAGAGCCCUGACUAAGAGGGCUCUGAGGUCAACCCAAAUCCUCUCCUAGGACUACCAAAUAGUCUCCUUUCUAAGAUAAGAUAUUAUAUUAAUGCUCAUUUAGGCAGUGGCUUUCAGACUUUUGUUGUUUAUUUCCCACAGUAAGAAAUAUAUUUUGCAUCUAUAGCAAGACAGUUCAAACACAUACAGUCACAUUUAUGACUGAAACGAAAGUUCAUGAGACCAUAGUUAUCUUUAUGAUACGCAAUGAUGAGUCAAAGCUUAUAAUUUAGAAAAUACUACAUUAAAGAAUUGUUAGAGGGAGCAUAGGCUGGGCGCGGUGGCUCAUGCCUCUAAUAGACAAAAUCUUUACGAUUCCACAAAUAGCUAGAUGAACAUUAGUUUGGAAACUACUCAACUAUAACUCUCCACCCUCCACAUACACACAAAAAGGAGUGCCCACAUGCAUGAUUAAGCUGCUUGGCUAUGAAUAAAUGACUCAUAUGACUGUUUGUCUAAGUGGUAAAAAGCAAAGCUGAUGUAGGAACAAGUAAGGUAAAAUCAAUUAGGGAAAGGGAACAGCUCCUCCCUAUUGUUCUUUUUUGUUCUCCACCAGCAUAAACACUGCUAUCCAAGUAGCCUCUGCAUUACAGAGGGCUGAAAAUUAAGCCCUGAAUUGGGGAAAGGGACUAGAUGGAUUCGAUGGUUUCUAAGUUACUUUUAAAUCCUAAAACUUUAUUCUCUUAAUAAACAUUUACUGAUUGCUUAAUACGUACCAGGCACCAUGCUGGGAGAUAAGGAUCCAACAUAAGACAAACAGUGCUGAUGCUUUUGGAAAGCUCAUAUUCAAGCUGGGGAGACAAACAACAUACAAGAGGGCUCUGAGAGAUUUCAUUUCUGUCCUGCUGAUGAAGUCUACGUUCAUUCAGGGCCUGCUGUGGAAGACCAGCCCCAAAGUUGCUGAACAGAAGACUUUUGAGAGUCAGCAGAAAUCUUCCACUUUGCAUGGUUCUCUUGAUGUGAAAUCAUCUAUAUAGCCCCAGAAUUGGAAAAGAAAAAAAAUAAAAAAAUGGAAGGAAACUGGAUUCGACAACAGUCUAAUGCUUUCUACUUUUAUUUACUUUUUCUUUAAAAAAAGUAAAUUCUGUUUAUAGUUACAAACAUCUGAUUUCUCAAUGAAUACUAGAGGAAAAAGGGAACAAAGGAAUCCAUAAUCUUCAAUUUACUUAAGAACUUAAUUAACCAAAUGCAAUGGACUCUAUUUGGGUACUGAUUUGAACAAAUAAACUAUAAAGACAUUUUUGAGACAAUUGGGGAAAUGUGAACAAUGAUUGGGUAUUUGAUGAUAUUAAGGAGUCACUGUCAAUUUUUAGGUGUGAUCAUGGUAUUGUGGUUCUGUUCCAAAAAAUAGCCCUUAUCUUUUAGAGCUAUGUUACAGUUUGGCUCCGUAUCCCCAUCCAGGCUUCAUCUUGAAUUGUAAUUCCUGUAUGUCAAAGGAGCAACCUGGUGGGAGGUGAUUGGGUCAUGGGGAUGGUUUCACCCAUGCUGUUCUCAUGAUAGUGAGUUCUCAUGAGAUCUGAUCGUUUAAAAGUGUGACACUUCCCCUCUUGCUCUCUUGUCUCCCACCACCAUGUAAGACAUGACUUGCUUCCCCUUCUGCCAUAAUCAUAAGAAUUGUAAUUUUCCUGAGGCCUCCCAAGCCAUGUGGAACUGUGAGUCAAUUAAACCUCUUUUCUUUAUAAAUUACCCUGCAACUGUCACCAUUCUCCAGACCCCAGAAUGGUAGAUCCAGCGACAGCCCUUGCACCUUCACCUGGAAAAGCCUCAGGCACUCACACCAGCCCUAAGACUGUGUAAUUUAUAAGGAAAAGAGGUUUAAUUGACUCACAGUUUUUAUAGCACUGUGAAAAUGGACUAAUAACAGAAAACUGGUAUCAGAAUAGUGGGGUACUACUAUAAAGAUAACCUGAAAAUGUGGAAGUGACUUUGGAACUGGGUAAUGGGCAGAGGUUAGAACAGUUUGGAGGAAUCAGAAGACAGGAAGAUGUGAGAAAGUUUGGAACUUCCUACAGACUUGUCAAAUGGUUUUGACUAAAAUGCUGAUAGUGAUAUGGACAAUGAAGUGCAAGCUCAGGUGGUCUCAGAUGGAGAUGAGAAACUUAUUGGAAACUAGAGUAUCUUGUAUGUUUUAGCAAAGAGACCAGUGGCAUUUUGCCCCCACCCCAGAGAUCUGUGGAACUUUGAAGUUGAGAGAGAUGAUUUAGGGUCUCUGAGAGAAGAAAUUUUUAAGGAUUCAAGAGGUGAUCUGGCUUUUGUGAAAGUGUACAGUCAUAUGCAUUCACAAAGAGAUGAUCUGAAAUUGGAACUUAUGUUUAAAAGGGAAGCAGAGCAUAAAAGUUAAAAAAAAAUUGCAGCUUGGCCAUGUGGUAGAAAAGAAAAACCCAUUUUAUGGGGAGAAAUUCAAGCUCGCUGCAGAAAUCUUCUUAAGUAAUGAGGAGCUAAAUAUUGCCAAGACAAUGGGGAAAAUGACUCCAGGCCAUUUCAGAGAUCUUCAAGGAAGCCUCUCCCAUCACAAGCCUGGAUAUCUAGGAGGAAAAAAUGGUUUUGUGGGCCAGGCUCAGAGCCCCACUGCUCUGUGCAGCCUCAAGACGGGGUGACCUGUAUUGCUGUUGCUUCAGCUCCACCCAUGGCUAAAAGGGGUCAAGGUACAGCUCAGACCAUUGCUUCAGAGGGUGCAAGCCCCACACCUUGGCAGCUUCCAUGUGGUGUUAAGUCUGCAGGUGCACAGAAGACAAGAGUUGAGCUUUGGGAGGCUCUGCCUAGAUUUCAGAGGAUGUGUGGAAAUGCCUGGAAGUCCAAGCAGAAGUCUGCUGUGGAGGUGGAGCCCUCAUGGAGAACCUCUACUAAGGCAGUACAGAGGAGAAAUGUGAGGUUGGAGCCCCCACACAGAGUCCCCACCGGGGCACUGGGUAGUGGAGCUGUAAGAAGAGGGCCACCAUUCUCUAGACCCCAGAAUGGUAGAUCCACCAACAGCUUGCACCGUGCACUUGGAAAAGCCCCAGGCACUCAACGCCAGCCCAUGAAAACAGCCACAGGGGCUGUACCCUGCAGAACCACAGGGGUGGAGCUGCCCAGAACUUUGGGAGUCCACCCCUUGCAUCAGUGUAGCUUGGAUGUGAGACAUGGAGUCAAAGGAGAUUAUUUUGGAGCUUUAACAUUUAAUGACUGCUCCACUGGGUUUCAGAUUUGCAUGGGCCUUGCAGCCUCUUUGUUUUGGCAAAUUUUUCCCAUUUGGAAGGGGAGCAUUUACCCAAUGCCUGUACCCCCAUUGUAUCUUGGAAGUAACUAACUUGUUUUUUAUUUUAUAGGCUCAUAGAUGGAAGGCUUGUCUCAGAUAAGACUUUGGACUUGGACUUUUGGGUUAAUGCUGGAAUGAGUUAAGACUUUGGGGUUCUGUUGGGAAGGCAUGAUUGUGUUUUGAAAUGUGAGAAGGACAAGAGAUCUGGGAGGGGCCAGGGUUGGAAUGAUAUGGCUUGGCUCUGUGUCCCCACCCGAAUCUCAUCUCAAAUUGUAAUCCUCACAUGUGGAGGAAGGUACCUGGUGGGAGCUGAUUGGAUCAUGGGGGUGGUUCCCCCAAGCUGUUCUCAUGAUAGUAAGUUCAUUCUCAUGAGAUCUGAUGGUUUAAAAGUGUGGCAUUUACACACUCUUUCUCUCCUGCUGCCAUGUAAGACAUGCCUUGCUUUCCCUUAACCUUCUGCCAUGAUUGUAAGUUUCCCGAGGUGUCCCCAGCCAUGUGAAACUGUGAGUUAAUUAAAGCUCUUUUCUUUAUAAAUUACCCAAUCUCAGGUAUUUCUUUAUAGCAGUGUGAAAAUGGACUAAUGGACUAAUGGAAAAUGGACUAAUACAAGAUACUUAUUGAAUAUAGAAUAAUUAUGUCUACAUAAUUAUUUACAGAUGAAAUAAUUAUGUCUAAAA